rnacentral:misc_RNA from 1 species
UUUUGUAGGAGCUGCCGCAGGCUGCGAUCUGUUGAUCUUGUGUUCGAAAGCAAGAUCAAGAGAUCGCAGCCUGCGGCAGCUCCUACUAAU